GACGAGGGGUCCUAGCGUUGCUCGGAAUCAUUGGGCGUAAAGCGGGUGUAGGCGGCUUCAUAAGUCAGUUGUGAAAGCCCCAAGUUCAACUUGGGAAGUGCUUCUGAUACUGUGAGGCUUGAGUAUGGGAGAGGGCAGUAGAAUUCCUGGUGUAGCGGUGAAAUGCGCAGAGUAUCAGGAAGAACACCCGUGGCUAAGGCGGCUCUCUAGUACGGUACUGACGCUGAGACGCGAAAGCGUGGGGAGCGAACAGG
rnacentral:rRNA from 1 species